AAGCACACGGCCCCGAAAUCCACCAUGAACCCAACCGCCGCUCCGAUCCGCUCGCCCUCUCGCCUUCGCCGCCAUGGCCAGCGCCCUCACGCCCGCGCUCACUCCCGCUUCUAGCUGGACGCGUCGUCUUCUCCCCGCAGCCGCCUCCGCCGCCUCGGCCAGAACAGCCUCCGCCGCGGGCGCGAAGCCCCGGGCGUUUCCGGCCGUCACCGCCAUGUCCGCCGCCGCGACGAAGGUGGUCCCCGCCGUGAUCGUCGGCGGGGGACGCGUGGGGAGGGCGCUGCAGGAGAUGGGGAGCG
rnacentral:lncRNA from 1 species